GCGGCCGCCCACAUGAUGCGCAAGACGAGCUGCCUGCAGUACCUGGACGCCCGCAACACGCCCCUGCUGGACCACUCGGCGCCCUUCGUGGCCCGUGCCCUGCGCAUCCGCAGCAGCCUGGCAGUGCUGCACUUGGAGAACGCCAGCCUGUCGGGGCGGCCCCUCAUGCUGCUCGGUGAGCCCCAAGCCCGGGAGGGUGAGCAGGAUGUGCAGCCUGUGGGGGGGCAGGGGCCUGCCCAGUCACCGUGCCCCCUCCCCGUCCCCAGCCACAGCCCUGAAGAUGAACAUGAACCUGCGGGAGCUGUACCUGGCGGACAACAAGCUCAACGGCCUGCAGGACUCAGCCCAGCUGGGUAACCUGCUCAAGUUCAACUGCUCCCUGCAGAUCCUGGACCUCCGGAACAACCAUGUGCUGGACUCGGGUGGGUGCAGUGGCCCACCCCACCCACACCCGUCACCCAGCACCCACUCUGCCCGGCCCUGCGCUAGGUGGUGCUGGGGACACAGACAUGGCCAAGACCACCCCAACGCUGUCCUGCUGGGGCUCCCAGGAGGAAGACAGACCCGCCCUAGACAGUGACAACCUAGAGUGGGCAGGACUGGGCUGAUGGAGCCCAGAGGCGGGGUCCGAUCAGUCUGGGGGCCAGGGAGGGCUUCCAGGAGGAGGGGACAGCUCAGCUGACAGCCGCAGGAUGAGGCGAAGUGAAUAAUUACAAUCUGAAAAGAAAGCAGUGUUGCUGCCAUAACAGGGUCAGCUAGAGGCUGCUUUCAGAUGGGAGAGGAGGGAAGACCACCGUGGGGCGGGGCCUCUGGGCUUCCAUCCGGAGGCUGGGAGCAGAACCAGCCUUGUGAGAAGCCUGGGAAAGGGUCCAGACCGCGGGAGCAGUGAGUGCAGUGGGAGGAGCUCUGGUGUUUGAUGCUGGGGGGUUGAGCAGAGAAUGGGGAGCCGUCAAAGGAGGCGUUCCUGUUGCAUCCUGGAGGGGUGGGGUGGGUCACUGUGUCCCCAGGUGGCAGGCCCAGACCCCACUCUACUGAGCACCUGCCAAGGGCCAUGGCUGUCGGCCCCUGGGCUCAGCUUGGAGGGAGACACAGGGCUCUGCCCUUGGGAGUUUGUACUCCAGUCUAGAGAGACAAAGAUAAGAUGAGUGAAAUCUCCAGCCUGUCAGAUGGUGGGAUCUGCAUUGGAGGGAGACAGUGGUGACUGUGGGUGGGAGUGAGCUGGCUGUGAGGUGAGGUGGGCCAGAGGUGGUCACAUUUGAGCAAAGAUCAGAAGCAUCUGGGGUAGGCUGUCAUCCAGGCACCCAGGCCCAGGGGUCACAGAUGUGUGCCCAGGGGUGCCAGGCCGAGGCAGGGCUGCAGGGCAAGGCCUGGGCCUGCGGGGCCUCCAUGGAGGUCCUAAGCAGAGGGGGUUGCUCCUACCCUGCAGUCCCCUCCCCAGGAAGCACCCGGACCCCAGACGGGGCUCUGACUGCCGGCCUCCUCCAGGUCUGGCCUACAUCUGCGAGGGCCUCAAGGAGCAGAGGAAGGGGCUGGUGACCCUGGUGCUGUGGAACAACCAGCUCACGCACACAGGCAUGGCCUUCCUGGGCAUGACACUGGUGAGUCAGGCUGGCAGGGAAGGGAGGCACCUCGGUCCCCGCUGCCACCUCCCACUCCAGCUCUCAGCACAGUUGCCUCUAGCUGACGGCUCCUGUCCUGCCCAUCCUGCAGGUUCAAGACGAUUUAAAGUCAGCCCCACCUGCUUCCUCAUUCAGCUUCUGUGCCUGUUUUCCCUGAGGAGGAGCCCUUCUUUCAUUUUCUCCUUUUUUUUUUUGAGACCGAGUCUCAUCCUGUCACCCAGGCUGGAGUGCAGUGGCGCCCUCUAGGCUCACUGCAGCCACUCCAGCCCCCGCCUCCUGGGUUCAAGCCAUUCUUCUGCCUCAGCCUCCCAAGUAGCUGGGACUACAGGUGCCCGCCACCCCGCCUAGCCAAUUUUUUUAUUUUUUGUUUUUAUUUUUUUGAGACGGAGUCUCAGUCGCCCAGGCUGGAGUGCAGUGGCUCGAUCUCCGCUCACUGCAAGCCCCACCUCCUGGGUUCACACCAUUCUCCUGCCUCAGCCUCCCGAGUAGUUGGAACUACAGGCACCCACCACCACACCCAGCUAAUUUUUUUGUAUUUUUUUAGUAGAGAGGGGGUUUCACCAUGUUAGCCAGGAUGGUCGCAAUCUGACCUUGUGAUCCACCCUCCUCGGCCUCCCAAAGUGCUGGGAUUACACGCGUGAGCCACCGCGCCCGGCCUAAUUUUUGUAUUUUUAGUACAGACGGGGUUUCACCAUGUUGGCCAGGCCGGUCUUGAACUCCUGACCUCAAGUGAUCCCCCCACCUCGGCCUCCGAAAGUAUUGGGAUUAUGAGUGAGUCACCGUGCCUGGUUUUCAGUUUUUACGUGGUGCUUAAAGCAAGCCACUCAGGUACAGAGACUCUCAGGGCGAGCACUCGUGUGCUCAAACCCCGGGAUCGAAGAGCCGCCCUCCUUGGGGGCUUCAGGGCGCUCAAGGUCCAGGCCCUGGCCAGGGGCUCAGGCUGUGGGGGGUAGGGACUGACUGGGUGCCUGGGGAGCUGGGAGUGGACGGGGGACCUGGCAUUUGGGGAGACUUCAGGCACAGGAGGGACUUCAGGCCAGGCCUGAAGCAGGGCAGGAUGGCGCCGGUGUUCACGCAGGCGCGCGAAGGAAAAGGAGCGCCCGGGCCUGGCUCUCUUCCCGGCUUCUUUCUUGACUUGGCCUCCUGGGUCUCCUCCGCCAUCACGGCCUCCUCCUCACCCUCACACCCCCUCCCUCCAGCCGCACACUCAGAGCCUGGAGACGCUGAACCUGGGCCACAACCCCAUCGGGAACGAGGGUGUGCGGCACCUCAAGAACGGGCUCAUCAGCAACCGCAGCGUGCUGCGCCUCGGGCUGGCCUCCACCAAGCUCACGUGCGAGGGCGCGGUGGCGGUGGCGGAGUUCAUCGCUGAGAGCCCCCGCCUCCUGAGACUGGACCUUCGGGAGAACGAGAUCAAGACAGGCGGGCUCAUGGCACUGUCGUUGGCCCUCAAGGUGAACCACUCACUGCUGCGCCUGGACCUUGACCGUGAGCCCAAGAAGGAGGCGGUGAGCAGGGGACGGUCCUGCAGCCCUGGGGCGGGCGGAAGGCCGGGUGGUGGGGCCGGCCUGAGAGCCCUAGCCAGGCCCUCCCGCCACAGGUGAAGAGCUUCAUCGAGACGCAGAAGGCGCUGCUGGCCGAGAUCCAGAACGGCUGCAAGCGCAACUUGGUGCUGGCGCGGGAGAGGGAGGAGAAGGAGCAGCCGCCACAGCUGUCGGCCUCCAUGCUUGAGACCACCGCCACCGAGCCCCAGCCCGACGACGAGCCCGCCGCUGGGGUGCAGAACGGGGCACCCAGCCCGGACUCAGACUCAGACUCGGACUCGGAUGGGGAGGAAGAGGAGGAAGAGGAAGGGGAGAGGGACGAGACCCCCUGUCCUGCCCUGGUGCCCCCCACGGACUCCCUGGGCCCUGGGGACAGGAGUCCCCCAGGCAGCCCCUCCACACCCACUGAGCAGCGGAUUUCCGUGUCCAGCCCGGGCCGGGGCCACAAGGUGUUUGUGGUGACCCGGGUGGAGAGCCCACCCGAGAGGGCAGAGCCCCCUGCGUCCCCCACCCCUCCCUCUCCCCCACCCCCUCCCUCCCCACCCGCCUCACCUUCCCUACCACCAGCCGGGGCCAUUGACACCCGGGACACAGGGUCCUCUGAGCCUCAGCCACCACCGGAGCCGCCUCGGUCAGGGCCACCACUGCCCAACGGCCUGAAGCCUGAGUUCGCCCUGGCACUGCCCCCUGAGCCGCCCCCGGGGCCUGAGGUCAAGGGGGGCAGCUGCGGCCUGGAGCACGGUGAGAGGGGCCCUAGGGCAGGUGAUGAGGGGCCCUGGGUGCUGUAUGUGACCCCAGGCAAGCCCCUGCCUGCUGUGGGCCUCAGUUUCCCCCUCUUUAAAAUGGUUCUCGCAGGGGCCAGCAAAGUGGGGCUUAGUUCUCAUCUCCACCCUGCUUCCCUUGGGUCCUGGGAGCUCUUCCUGGGGUGGGGCAUGUAAAGUGUGCUGCCUUGAGCCUGACCAUCUCAGCGGUCUCUGGGCACUCUGCAGGCCCUGAGGGUCUGGCUGGGGCCGGGCUGGGGACAGGUUGUAUUUGCCCCACCCGCCUGACGGGGUUGCUGGCCCGUCCUCCCACACAGAACUGAGCUGCUCCAAGAACGAGAAGGAGCUCGAGGAGCUGCUUCUGGAAGCCAGUCAGGAAUCCGGGCAGGAGACACUGUGACACUUUAGGUGAGGCCAGGCCCGGGGCCCACAGCACUCGGGAGGAGCUGAGAGAGCCUCUGGCUCUGACAGUCUCUCCCCCAAUCUCUCCUUCCCAAGUUCCCUUUUUCCGGUCGGUCUGCGAUGAGCUGAGGCCAGAGCCAUGAGAAUCUGCUCACCUUCCCCCCAGCCUUCCUGAGGCCCAGGAUGCCAGGGGUGGGGGCCAUUCUGGGGCCCCCCUCCCCCCACAGCAACACUACAAGGGGUGCAGGAGCUACAGGGAGUGGCCCUCCGCGCGUGACUCAAGCACUUCUAUUUAUGAGCCCACCACUGGAAGACUCUGGGGGUGAAUGGGAGGAGGGGGAGCAGGAGGAGGAGGAGGUCUCCAAGGACAUCAGGCGCCUGUUCUGGAGGGGCCAGGCUUGCCCUGCGGAGGGCAGGCGUCCUGGGUGGUGGUGGGAUGGUCCCCUGUGGCCCCGGGCACAGGGCCAGGCAGGCAGCCUGGUGCCGGAGGGGCGGUGCGUGCUGGUGGUGGUUGAGAUGCGCAGAACAGCCCCAGACAGCGCAGGCCGGGCAGGGUGGGGGGAUGGGAGCAGAGGAUCAGAGCUUUCUUUUUCUCAAGUGCAAUAAAUCUAUCAGGGAGCUGGGGCGGGAGCAGCCGGCACUCCGGGACCCUGCUGUCCAGGCCACUGGAGGCUGCGCCCUGAGAGGCACUACAGCCCUUUGGGGGCGAGUGGCACGGGUGUGGGUGAGGGUGGGCAGAGGGCUGGGGCUACUCCUGUCGGUGCAACUCUGUUCACACCUUUUCUAAUAAACUGGGGCUGGGUUCACUUUGCCCAACGUCUGCUUCGUGCGGAUCCUGGAGGUGGUUGCUGGGGGUGGGCUGGGUGGAGGCCAUCACAGCUCCUGGUUACAGAGCAUCUGCCAGGGCACUGGUCAGGCAUUACUGCGUCUUCCCCCACAGUCCCGUCUAUUCUGCGUCCAUGCUCUGGUGUCUCGUACGGCCACCUCCCAGCCAGGCCAGUUUACACCCAUCCUUUCUGCAGGGUGAGACAGGCCCCAGAUACCUCCUGGCUUCAGGUCUAGGGUCUCAGGAUGCUGGAUAUGGAGUGGCUCUGCCCAGUCGCCCAUCGCUCAACAGGAACAGAUCCCAGCCUGUCCCUGGCAGCCCCGGGUGUUGUGCAGGUGGGAGUAUGCCCCGGGCCCAGCCAGCACUGCAGGAGCCUGGUGGGCGGCUUGUUCCCCUUUGCCAGCAGGGGCCUGGGGGGCCAUGGGGGGGCUGUUGCGGAUUUCUGAGAGGUCUGUUUUUCCCUUUAGGAAAGGGGGGAGCAGGCCGGGCGUGGUGGCCCACACCUGUAAUCCCAGCACUUUGGGAGGCUGAGGUGGGAGGAUUGCUUGAACCCAGGAAUUUGACACCAGCCUGGGCAAUAUGGUGAAACCCCAUCUCCAUAGAAAAUACAAAAAUUAGCUGGGUGUGGUGGCGUGUGCCUGUAGUCCCAGCUACUCAGGAAGCUGAGUUGGGAGGAUCGCUUGAACCCAGGAGGUUGAGGCUGCAGUGAGGUGUGAUUGCACCACUGCACUUCAGCCUGGGCAACAGAGUGAGAUCCUGUCUCAAAAAAAAAAAAAAA
rnacentral:sRNA from 1 species